UUAAGCGACUAAGCGUACACGGUGGAUGCCCUGGCAGUCAGAGGCGAUGAAGGACGUGCUAAUCUGCGAUAAGCGUCGGUAAGGUGAUAUGAACCGUUAUAACCGGCGAUUUCCGAAUGGGGAAACCCAGUGUGUUUCGACACACUAUCAUUAACUGAAUCCAUAGGUUAAUGAGGCGAACCGGGGGAACUGAAACAUCUAAGUACCCCGAGGAAAAGAAAUCAACCGAGAUUCCCCCAGUAGCGGCGAGCGAACGGGGAGCAGCCCAGAGCCUGAAUCAGUGUGUGUGUUAGUGGAAGCGUCUGGAAAGGCGUGCGAUACAGGGUGACAGCCCCGUACACAAAAAUGCACAUAUUGUGAGCUCGAUGAGUAGGGCGGGACACGUGGUAUCCUGUCUGAAUAUGGGGGGACCAUCCUCCAAGGCUAAAUACUCCUGACUGACCGAUAGUGAACCAGUACCGUGAGGGAAAGGCGAAAAGAACCCCGGCGAGGGGAGUGAAAAAGAACCUGAAACCGUGUACGUACAAGCAGUGGGAGCACGCUUAGGCGUGUGACUGCGUACCUUUUGUAUAAUGGGUCAGCGACUUAUAUUCUGUAGCAAGGUUAACCGAAUAGGGGAGCCGAAGGGAAACCGAGUCUUAACUGGGCGUUAAGUUGCAGGGUAUAGACCCGAAACCCGGUGAUCUAGCCAUGGGCAGGUUGAAGGUUGGGUAACACUAACUGGAGGACCGAACCGACUAAUGUUGAAAAAUUAGCGGAUGACUUGUGGCUGGGGGUGAAAGGCCAAUCAAACCGGGAGAUAGCUGGUUCUCCCCGAAAGCUAUUUAGGUAGCGCCUCGUGAAUUCAUCUCCGGGGGUAGAGCACUGUUUCGGCAAGGGGGUCAUCCCGACUUACCAACCCGAUGCAAACUGCGAAUACCGGAGAAUGUUAUCACGGGAGACACACGGCGGGUGCUAACGUCCGUCGUGAAGAGGGAAACAACCCAGACCGCCAGCUAAGGUCCCAAAGUCAUGGUUAAGUGGGAAACGAUGUGGGAAGGCCCAGACAGCCAGGAUGUUGGCUUAGAAGCAGCCAUCAUUUAAAGAAAGCGUAAUAGCUCACUGGUCGAGUCGGCCUGCGCGGAAGAUGUAACGGGGCUAAACCAUGCACCGAAGCUGCGGCAGCGACGCUGAUGCGUUGUUGGGUAGGGGAGCGUUCUGUAAGCCUGCGAAGGUGUGCUGUGAGGCAUGCUGGAGGUAUCAGAAGUGCGAAUGCUGACAUAAGUAACGAUAAAGCGGGUGAAAAGCCCGCUCGCCGGAAGACCAAGGGUUCCUGUCCAACGUUAAUCGGGGCAGGGUGAGUCGACCCCUAAGGCGAGGCCGAAAGGCGUAGUCGAUGGGAAACAGGUUAAUAUUCCUGUACUUGGUGUUACUGCGAAGGGGGGGACGGAGAAGGCUAUGUUGGCCGGGCGACGGUUGUCCCGGUUUAAGCGUGUAGGCUGGUUUUCCAGGCAAAUCCGGAAAAUCAAGGCUGAGGCGUGAUGACGAGGCACUACGGUGCUGAAGCAACAAAUGCCCUGCUUCCAGGAAAAGCCUCUAAGCAUCAGGUAACAUCAAAUCGUACCCCAAACCGACACAGGUGGUCAGGUAGAGAAUACCAAGGCGCUUGAGAGAACUCGGGUGAAGGAACUAGGCAAAAUGGUGCCGUAACUUCGGGAGAAGGCACGCUGAUAUGUAGGUGAAGCGACUUGCUCGUGGAGCUGAAAUCAGUCGAAGAUACCAGCUGGCUGCAACUGUUUAUUAAAAACACAGCACUGUGCAAACACGAAAGUGGACGUAUACGGUGUGACGCCUGCCCGGUGCCGGAAGGUUAAUUGAUGGGGUUAGCGCAAGCGAAGCUCUUGAUCGAAGCCCCGGUAAACGGCGGCCGUAACUAUAACGGUCCUAAGGUAGCGAAAUUCCUUGUCGGGUAAGUUCCGACCUGCACGAAUGGCGUAAUGAUGGCCAGGCUGUCUCCACCCGAGACUCAGUGAAAUUGAACUCGCUGUGAAGAUGCAGUGUACCCGCGGCAAGACGGAAAGACCCCGUGAACCUUUACUAUAGCUUGACACUGAACAUUGAGCCUUGAUGUGUAGGAUAGGUGGGAGGCUUUGAAGUGUGGACGCCAGUCUGCAUGGAGCCGACCUUGAAAUACCACCCUUUAAUGUUUGAUGUUCUAACGUGGACCCGUAAUCCGGGUUGCGGACAGUGUCUGGUGGGUAGUUUGACUGGGGCGGUCUCCUCCUAAAGAGUAACGGAGGAGCACGAAGGUUGGCUAAUCCUGGUCGGACAUCAGGAGGUUAGUGCAAUGGCAUAAGCCAGCUUGACUGCGAGCGUGACGGCGCGAGCAGGUGCGAAAGCAGGUCAUAGUGAUCCGGUGGUUCUGAAUGGAAGGGCCAUCGCUCAACGGAUAAAAGGUACUCCGGGGAUAACAGGCUGAUACCGCCCAAGAGUUCAUAUCGACGGCGGUGUUUGGCACCUCGAUGUCGGCUCAUCACAUCCUGGGGCUGAAGUAGGUCCCAAGGGUAUGGCUGUUCGCCAUUUAAAGUGGUACGCGAGCUGGGUUUAGAACGUCGUGAGACAGUUCGGUCCCUAUCUGCCGUGGGCGCUGGAGAACUGAGGGGGGCUGCUCCUAGUACGAGAGGACCGGAGUGGACGCAUCACUGGUGUUCGGGUUGUCAUGCCAAUGGCACUGCCCGGUAGCUAAAUGCGGAAGAGAUAAGUGCUGAAAGCAUCUAAGCACGAAACUUGCCCCGAGAUGAGUUCUCCCUGACCCUUUAAGGGUCCUGAAGGAACGUUGAAGACGACGACGUUGAUAGGCCGGGUGUGUAAGCGCAGCGAUGCGUUGAGCUAACCGGUACUAAUGAACCGUGAGGCUUAACCUU
rnacentral:rRNA from 1 species